GAUGAACGCUGGCGGCGUGCCUAAUACAUGCAAGUCGAGCGAACGGACGAGAAGCUUGCUUCUCUGAUGUUAGCGGCGGACGGGUGAGUAACACGUGGAUAACCUACCUAUAAGACUGGGAUAACUUCGGGAAACCGGAGCUAAUACCGGAUAAUAUUUUGAACCGCAUGGUUCAAAAGUAAAAGACGGUCUUGCUGUCACUUAUAGAUGGAUCCGCGCUGCAUUAGCUAGUUGGUAAGGUAACGGCUUACCAAGGCAACGAUGCAUAGCCGACCUGAGAGGGUGAUCGGCCACACUGGAACUGAGACACGGUCCAGACUCCUACGGGAGGCAGCAGUAGGGAAUCUUCCGCAAUGGGCGAAAGCCUGACGGAGCAACGCCGCAUGAGUGAUGAAGGUCUUCGGAUCGUAAAACUCUGUUAUUAGGGAAGAACAUAUGUGUAAGUAACUGUGCACAUCUUGACGGUACCUAAUCAGAAAGCCACGGCUAACUACGUG
rnacentral:rRNA from 1 species